GUUGUGGGAAGAACCUCUGUUGUCCCAGCUGGAAACUUAAGCAUCAGGAAAUGCAUUUCUGUGUGUUCCCAGCCGGCUGAAAAGUCAAGCACACUAAGGACAAGGCAAUCCCCAAUGCCCUGCCCCAAUCUGGCUUUUCCCCUUCCCCGCCUGCUGCUCCAGGUUUUCUGGCUUUCUCAUUCUCCUCUCUUUCUCCCAGGGCGAGCCCAGAGGGUGUUUGUUUAAAGAACCUUUCACUAGCAUUCCUUCCCAGUCAUUCUCUCAGCUUUUCACUUUGCAUUAUGCCCAGAGCCCUAGAUGCAGUCUCCUUCCCCAGCCAGGCCGCUUUCAAAAACUAACCUCUGUUUUACAUGGGUCCCAUAACCCAUUUGCCUCCAAAAAAACCCUGUAACAUUGCAGAGAACCCUAAAGCCUCCUUGGACCCCUAAAAAUCCAUGUCUACCCUCUUCAAUUCCCCAAUAGAACAGGAGUCCCUCCUUAUCCUCUGAGAUACAUUCCAAGACCCCCAGUGGCUGCCUGAAAUCACGGUCAACAGCAAACCCUACAUACCGUAGAAAAGCCAUAAACCUGAAGUUACUAAGGUCUGGCUCCAGGAAAUCCUGAAUCCAAGAAGAAUGCUCAGCAGGACAGAAUUGAAGACAACAGUUCAUCAUCUUUCCUUCCCAGGAUCGAGAAUAUCCCAAGGAAAUGCCAAGUAAAAAAGUAAAAUCAGCGAUUGAUUUUGCGUUUGGAGAACUGACCAAGUUUCUUCAUCAAAUGCCGAUUGCAAGUCUGAGUCAAGGUUGAGCAUAUAUAAAGGAAUCCUCCCGGGUACCUCCCCUUGGGGUCUUCACAAGAUGUGAUUUUGAAAAACCAGACUCGGGCGAUCAGAGACCUCACUGCGGAGGAAACGAAGGAUGCCUCACUUCCAAAACCUGCCUCCUGCAAACACUCCCUCGGGUCCCUGCUGGCGCCAGGCUGGGACCGAGAGAGCUUCCUGUCCCGCUGACCACAGAGGUUAAACAGAAUCUCCACUCCCGGAUUGAGGAAAGAAAGGCGUCUUCCCCGAUGAUUUUCGCGAGGCUGC